AAUGCGAUACUUGGUGUGAAUUGCAGAAUCCCGUGAACCAUCGAGUUUUUGAACGCAAGUUGCGCCCGAAGCCUUUUGGCYGAGGGCACGUCUGCCUGGGCGUCACAC
rnacentral:rRNA from 1 species